ACGGAGGGUGCUAGCGUUAUCCGGAUUCACUGGGUUUAAAGGGUGCGUAGGCGGGUAAGUAAGUCAGUCGUGAAAUCUCUCGGCUCAACCGAGAAACGUCGGCUGAUACUGCCGUUCUUGAGGGAUGCAGAGGAGACUGGAAUUCCCGGUGUAGCGGUGAAAUGUGUAGAGAUCGGGAGGAACACCGGUGGCGAAGGCGGGUCUCUGGGCAUUUCCUGACGCUGAGGCGCGAAAGCGUGGGGAGCAAACGGGA
rnacentral:rRNA from 1 species